UGAGUAACGCGUGAGUAACCUGCCUUUCAGAGGGGGAGUAACGUUCUGAAAAGAAACGCUAAUACCGCAUGAGACUACAGAGCUGCAUGGCUCAGUGGUCAAAGGAGCAAUCCGCUGAAAGAUGGACUCGCGUCCGAUUAGAUAGUAGGCGGGGUAACGGCCCACCUAGUCGACGAUCGGUAGCCGGACUGAGAGGUUGAACGGCCACAUUGGGACUGAGACACGGCCCAGACUCCUACGGGAGGCAGCAUG
rnacentral:rRNA from 1 species